rnacentral:tRNA from 1 species
GGCUGGAGAGGGCUCAGCGGUGAAGAGCACUGACUGUUCCUCCAGAAGUCCUGAGUUCAAUUCCCAGCAACCA